rnacentral:tRNA from 1 species
GGGGGCGUAGCUCAGUCGGAAGAGCGGCGGCUUUGCAAGCCGCAGGUCGGCGGUUCGAGCCCGCUCGCCUCCA